AAACCGCCCAGAGGUAAACGGGUGGAUCCGCAAAGUCGGCCUGCGGAAUUCAGCGCGUGCGGUGGGUCGGUGCUCGCCGGGGUCCUGGGAUCUUCGGACCCUGCCCUGGCUUGCCUGGCCUCCGCCGCGUGCACUUUCCGCGGGCAGAGCGCUACGACCGGUUUCGCGGUGGCGACAAGCCCGAUCGGUAGCGUGGCACGAUCUCACGGUCGUGCUUCGGCCGGUCGAGGUGAGCCGCUGUCGGGACCGAGGAACGGCCGCACGCUCCGCGGCUGCCUGGCCUCGCGGGGGAGUUCAACUGGCAGGGACUGGGCAACCGUGCCUGCCGACCGCUCCUCCGUGUCGGAUCGGGACAGCCGGGCGUGUCAGGGGGUCGGUGGCGAGUCUGUCGGCAUUCCACCCGACCCGUCUUGAAACACGGACCAAGGAGUCUAACAUGCGCGCGAGUCAUUGGGCGGUACGAAACCCAAAGGCGCAGUGAAAGCAAGGGUCGCCUCGGGCUGACCCAGGUGGGAUCCCCGGCUAGAUUGGGGCGCACCACCGGCCCGUCCCGUCUGCGUCGUCAGAGGGGCGGAGCUAGAGCGUGCACGCUGGGACCCGAAAGAUGGUGAACUAUGCCUGAGUAGAACGAAGCCAGAGGAAACUCUGGUGGAAGUCCGUAGCGAUUCUGACGUGCAAAUCGAUCGUCAAACUUGGGUAUAGGGGCGAAAGACUAAUCGAACCAUUUAGUAGCUGGUCCCCUU
rnacentral:rRNA from 1 species